rnacentral:rRNA from 1 species
GACGAACGCUGGCGGCGUGCUUAACACAUGCAAGUCGAACGGAAAGGCCCUGCUUUUGUGGGGUGUUCGAGUGGCGAACGGGUGAGUAACACGUGAGUAACCUGCCCUGGACUUUGGGAUAACUUCAGGAAACUGGGGCUAAUACCGGAUAGGAGCUCCUGCUGCAUGGUGGGGGUUGGAAAGUUUCGGCGGUUGGGGAUGGACUCGCGGCUUAUCAGCUUGUUGGUGGGGUAGUGGCUUACCAAGGCUUUGACGGGUAGCCGGCCUGAGAGGGUGACCGGCCACAUUGGGACUGAGAUACGGCCCAGACUCCUACGGGAGGCAGCAGUGGGGAAUAUUGCACAAUGGGCGGAAGCCUGAUGCAGCAACGCCGCGUGCGGGAUGACGGCCUUCGGGUUGUAAACCGCUUUCGCCUGUGACGAAGCGUGAGUGACGGUAAUGGGUAAAGAAGCACCGGCUAACUACGUG